CACGUAGUUAGCCGGUGCUUUUUCUGCAGGUACCGUCACUUUCGCUUCUUCCCUACUAAAAGAGGUUUACAACCCGAAGGCCGUCGUCCCUCACGCGGCGUCGCUGCAUCAGGGUUCCCCCCAUUGUGCAAUAUCCCCCACUGCUGCCUCCCGUAGGAGUCUGGGCCGUGUCUCAGUCCCAAUGUGGCCGUCCACCCUCUCAGGCCGGCUACUGAUCGUCGCCUUGGUGGGCCGUUACCCCGCAACAAGCUAAUCAGACGCGAGCCCAUCCUGCACCAUAUUACUUUCCACACCGCCCCAUGCGGGGCUGUGCGCCUAUGCGGUAUUAGCAGCCGUUUCCAGCUGUUCGUCCCCCAGUGCAGGGCAGGUUGCUCACGCGUUACUCACCCGUCCGCCACUAGGCAGCGCCAAUUUCCGCUCCGAAAAGUUUCCAUCGGCGCGCCCCGUUCGACUUGCAUGUGUUAGGCACGCCGCCAGCGUUCAUCCUGAGCCAGGAUCAAACUCU
rnacentral:rRNA from 1 species